rnacentral:rRNA from 1 species
GUCCAGACUUUGAUCAUGGCUCAGGAUGAACGCUGGCGGCGUGCCUAAUACAUGCAAGUCGAACGAAUCUCUUUUAGAGAUGAGUGGCGAACGGGUGAGUAAUACAUAGGUAACCUGCCCCUGUGCGGGGGAUAACAGGAGGAAACUCCUGCUAAUACCGCAUAGCCAUGAGCACCGCAUGGAGCUCAUGCCAAAUAUCCUUUAUGGGACAGCGCAGGGAUGGACCUGUGGCGCAUUAGCUGGUUGGCGGGGCAACGGCCCACCAAGGCAACGAUGCGUAGCCGGCCUGAGAGGGCGGACGGCCACAUUGGGACUGAGACACGGCCCAGACUCCUACGGGAGGCAGCAGUAGGGAAUUUUCGGCAAUGGGGGAAACCCUGACCGAGCAACGCCGCGUGAGCGAAGAAGGCCUUCGGGUCGUAAAGCUCUGUUGUAAAGGAAGAACGGCGCAUACAGGAAAUGGUAUGCGAGUGACGGUACUUUACCAGAAAGCCACGGCUAACUACGUGCCAGCAGCCGCGGUAAUACGUAGGUGGCGAGCGUUAUCCGGAAUCAUUGGGCGUUAAGAGGGAGCAGGCGGCCGCAAGGGUCUGUGGUGAAAGACCGAAGCUAAACUUCGGUAAGCCAUGGAAACCGGGCGGCUAGAGUGCGGAAGAGGAUCGUGGAAUUCCAUGUGUAGCGGUGAAAUGCGUAGAUAUAUGGAGGAACACCAGUGGCGAAGGCGACGGUCUAGGCCGCAACUGACGCUCAUUCCCGAAAGCGUGGGGAGCAAAUAGGAUUAGAUACCCUAGUAGUCCACGCCGUAAACGAUGGUCACUAAGUGUCGGGGGUCAAACCCCGGU